GAUGAAGAACGUAGCGAAAUGCGAUACUUGGUGUGAAUUGCAGAAUCCCGUGAACCAUCGAGUCUUUGAACGCAAGUUGCGCCUCAAGCCAUUAGGUUGAGGGCACGUCUGCCUGGGCGUCACAUAUCGUUGCCUGAUGCCAGUUUCCUCGUGAUGGGUGACUGUGCAGGGCGAAUGAUGGCUUCCCGUGAGCAUUGUUGCCUCAUGGUUGGUUGAAAAUUGAGUCCUUGGUAGGGAGCGCCGUGAUAGAUGGUGGUUGAGUGACGAACGAGACCCAAUCAUGUGAGACCCCUACCGAAUUUGGCCUUCAUGACCCACAUGCGUCUUUGGAACGCUCAUGACGAGACCUCAGAUCAGGCGGGGCUACCCGCUGAGUUUAAGCAUAUCAAUAAGCGGAGGA
rnacentral:misc_RNA from 1 species